rnacentral:tRNA from 1 species
GCCUGGGUGGCUCAGUCGGUUGGGCGUCUGACUUCGGCUCAGGUCAUGAUCUCACAGCUCGUGAGUUCGAGCCCCGUGUCGGGCU